rnacentral:rRNA from 1 species
UACGUAGGGGGCUAGCGUUGUCCGGAAUCAUUGGGCGUAAAGCGCGUGUAGGCGGCCCGGUAAGUCCGCUGUGAAAGUCGGGGGGCUCAACCCUCGAAUGCCGGUGGAUACUGUCGGGCUAGAGUGCGGAAGAGGCGAGUGGAAUUCCUGGUGUAGCGGUGAAGUGCGCAGAUAUCAGGAGGAACACCUAUUGCGAAGGCAGCUCGCUGGGACGUAACUGACGCUGAGACGCGAAAGCGUGGGGGAGCAAACAGG